UGGAGCACAAUGUCACCCACACCUACGCUGC
rnacentral:piRNA from 1 species